AGAGUUUGAUCCUGGCUCAGGACGAACGCUGGCGGCGCGCCUAACACAUGCAAGUCGAACGGAAUCAAGAGGAGCUUGCUUUUCUUGAUUUAGUGGCGAACGGGUGAGUAACGCGUGAGUAACCUGCCCUGGAGUGGGGGACAACAGUUGGAAACGACUGCUAAUACCGCAUAAGCCCACGGUACCGCAUGGUACUGAGGGAAAAGGAUUUAUUCGCUCUAGGAUGGACUCGCGUCCAAUUAGCUAGUUGGUGAGGUAACGGCCCACCAAGGCGACGAUUGGUAGCCGGACUGAGAGGUUGAACGGCCACAUUGGGACUGAGACACGGCCCAGACUCCUACGGGAGGCAGCAGUGGGGGAUAUUGCACAAUGGGGGAAACCCUGAUGCAGCGACGCCGCGUGGAGGAAGAAGGUUUUCGGAUUGUAAACUCCUGUCGUUAGGGACGAUAAUGACGGUACCUAACAAGAAAGCACCGGCUAACUACGUGCCAGCAGCCGCGGUAAAACGUAGGGUGCAAGCGUUGUCCGGAAUUACUGGGUGUAAAGGGAGCGCAGGCGGACCGGCAAGUUGGAAGUGAAAUCCAUGGGCUCAACCCGUGAAUUGCUUUCAAAACUGCUGGCCUUGAGUAGUGCAGAGGUAGGUGGAAUUCCCGGUGUAGCGGUGGAAUGCGUAGAUAUCGGGAGGAACACCAGUGGCGAAGGCGACCUACUGGGCACCAACUGACGCUGAGGCUCGAAAGCAUGGGUAGCAAACAGGAUUAGAUACCCUGGUAGUCCAUGCCGUAAACGAUGAUUACUAGGUGUUGGAGGAUUGACCCCUUCAGUGCCGCAGUUAACACAAUAAGUAAUCCACCUGGGGAGUACGACCGCAAGGUUAAACUCAGACGAAU
rnacentral:rRNA from 1 species